UCAACUCUUUCUGCCUAAACAACAAAAUCGCAGGCACACUUCAGGCUCCAUCUAAGGCUAAUGGGUUCCAAGAGGGGCAGGGAUGGAUUACUUUUGAAAAAAUCAACCAGCUAACCAUUUAUGGUGGCGGAACUUUUGACGGUAACGGUGAAUCCAGCUGGGGACAGCAUUGUAAAAGGACCCAAUAUUGCAGCAAACUCCCCGUUAAUAUUAGAAUGAACUAUCUGAACGACACAGUUAUUAAGAGCAUAAGAUCCGUGGACAGCAAACAAUUCCACUUUGCAAUUAUAGGAGCAGUCAAUCUCAAAGAAAAAAGAUUGGUAGUUUCUGUCAAAGGAGCAAAGGAAGCUAUUUGCUUAAUUGAGAAUUUCUAAGAAAGGUAUUUUAUUCACUUUCAUAAUUUGAUUAAUAUCUAAAUCUUAAUUUGUAUAUAAAUUAAUUUGUUGAUGCUGUCUGUUUUUUAUUUUUCUGCUUGGGAUUUUCUGGGUUAGAAUCGGUUUAGAAAGGGGUGCUGCUGGGUUUUAUUUUCUGGGUUUGUAAGAGGGUUGUUCUUCGUGUUCUUCAAAGAAGAACAACGAAGAAGGAGGCUCUGUUUGGGGUAUUUCGAAUUGGGCAGCAAGGAUUAAUUUCUGGGUUGAUUUUGUUGAUGUCUCUGUGUUCUUCAGAGAAGAACAAAGAAGGAGAACGGCUAGGGUUAAUCUUUAGUGGCUGUGUUUAUGUGUUUAUAAUACGACUUGUAGCUCUUUAAUAAAAGGGCUGUCGUCUGAAUUAAAGGCUGAGAGUAAAAAAAAAAAACAGUAUCCAUUUAUCAAAACAUUUAAAUAAACAAACAAUAUACCUUAUUGUGAUCAAGUCCUCCAAUUGCCUCGAAUUGGAAAUUUUCCUUCAAAAAUGGCCUCACACACCUAUUAUAAAGAAAUUUAUGUUAUUCAUCAUAAAUUUCAAUCAGUAUCCACACAUAUCAUACAUACAUUACUAUAUCUAAUCUAGACAUAUAAAUAUACAUUAUACCUUUUUGUCUUUCAGUCCUUGUUUUUCAAAGCUCUUCAAUCCAAAAAUCUUUACUUUUCAUAAUAAUAUAUAGAUAUAGAUAUUGAGGUUUUCGGAUGAGUUCUAUUUUUUUUGGCAGAAAUAUAUUGACAGAAGGAAGAAUAGAUCGACAGAACUAUAUAUGGGGAGAUAUUUAGGUUUUAUUUAGGGUUUUAUUAUUUUUAAAUAUAAAUAUUUUAAAUAUUUUAAUGAUAUAUAAUCUCUUUUUUAUUCUUAUUUUUUUUUCAUCUGGCAAUUUUAUUGUUAUUCAAAUUCAAAUUCAUCCUAAUAUCUAGCUUUAAAAUAGGUUAAUUAGUUAGUUAGAAAAUUAAUCCUAAUCGGAAUCAGGUGGCACGUAAUACUGGGAAGGGCAUGUGUGCUAUGAAUUUGUUAAAAAGCUGAGAUUGAUAGUUGGAGCUUUACUAUCGCUGUGUUCGGUGUCGAGGAAAACCAGAGAGAAACGGUGGCAGUAGCUACCCCAUAAGUAUGUUGAUGGAUGUUACUUGAAUGUGAAAGUGAAUUCUCUGACCUCAAUCGAUGCCAAUUUGUCAUUUUGUUAUGUUUUUUUUUCUAACUUCAGUGAUUAGAUUUCAAUUAUGGUGUUGUUGAGGUGAUAAUAUUUAUUCUUAAUAGCAAUACCCAUUUUUCACUUUUUUAUUUCUAAAACUUGAGAUAUGUAUUUUCUUCAGAAUUUGAGCAUUCCAUUAUAGUUUUUUCUAUAUUUUUCAAAUUUAUCUGAAUUAUAUCUGUUGUAGUCAAUUCUUGCCUUGAUCUUGAUCGUAGUCGUAGAAUUGGUUAGCUGGUAGAUCUUUCAAGUUAAUUCACCAUUCAAGUGUAUUUUGAGACAGUCCAUGCUACAGCAUCGAGUUUUUCUUUUAUUUGAAUGCUUUUUUUCUUUAUAUGUUCUAUGUUGAUGAAUUGUUGCAUUUGGAUUUGGAGGGUUUAGGUUGCUAGAAGCAGCAGCUAGCUCCCAUAAUAUGUGAAGUUUUGUGGUGACAUAUGAUAUUUUGGCAACGGUCAAGCUGUUGAGUAAUAGUGAUCGUAAACACUGUAAUGUAUUGAUGUGAAUGAGUCACUUGUGUGUUUUUAAGAGCUGCAAAAAAAAAAAUGCUUAAUAUUGUACUAGGAUCAGCAUUACAGGUUUUUGUUGAGAUCAUGUAGUCUGGAGGUUUCACAGUAUAUUUGGCAACAUAAAAGAAUUUACAAAUCACUUCUGAAUUCAUGUCAGGUUAUAUGUAAAAUUCUUUACUUUUUUGGUAGUUUUUUUAGACAAAAUUUUUAAUAUUGAUUUGAAUCUAAAAUAGAAUUUGUAUCUUGUAUACAAUUGUGUAUGUCCACUUCGUUUUGAUCAGAUGAAAGGUGAGGAGCCUUUAAGUGAUGAGUUUAACUACUGAUGAGAAUUGUGUUCAAUUAUUUUGGAAAAUUUAUCAUUAUUCACUCAUAAGUUAAUCUAUAUAUUACUAACUUAAAAUUGUGAAAAUAUAUUUUUACUUUUUACUGGUUGACAUUCUUGAAAGUCAUCAUUUAACAUUUUUUUUUACAGUAGAAAGUGUGUUGUCUGAAACAUAACAUUAUGAAACCAUUAAUUUGCAUUCCCUAUUUUAACAACUAAGCUGGUUUAUCUACUUGUCUAGGUUCUUUACAUGUGUUUACCAACACUGGCUACACAAAGGGGGAUUAAAUAUGAUAACUAAAAUAAGUUCUUGUUGAUACAUGUUUGUGCAAACAAUAAGUAUUCACAAACAUACUUUGACCAGGUUGAGAGAAAUUUAUAAUUAAAAUAAUCUCAAUAUGAUACAUUUAUGAGUAAAUAAAUAUAAAUUUGCACACACGCAUGGAUCCAGUUCAAUGGAUUUGAUCAUAGAAAUCUCUAAUACAUUGAUCCAGUUUAGUAUAUUGUUCAUACAAAUCCACUCUCUGUGAUAUAUGUUUGUGUAAACAAUAAACACACUUGAACACACAUACACAAACAUAUUUCCCUGGUCAAGUAGGGUUGAUCUUUAAGAUGAAUUUUUUUAAAAAGAAAUUCAUAAAAGUAUGUUCUAAUUUUUGAACCAAUAGCUAAUCAAUCACAGGGAAAGUUCGUAUAAUUUGUCCUCCUACUAUUGUUGGUUUGAAUUCAUAAAAAUUAGUGCAUGUUUGACAUCAUAACUAAAAAAUUGUUUUUUGUUUUUAAAAACAGAAAAUUAUUUUUUGAAAACAAUUUGGCUUGUUUGGCCUAGUAUAAUAAUAAGUGCAGAAACAGGCAGAUGUGAACUCACUUCUUCUGCUACUGGGAUUGCUAUGCCACAUACUGCCAUUGAUGUUCAAAUAUGCAGCAGCGCCGGGGAUUUAUGUUGGAAACUAUACGCUUCAGUUGUCUAGAGCAAGUAGCAUUUUUAUGCUUUUGGCCUAUAUAAUAUUGUGCUGUUUUUUUUUUCAAAAAAAAAAAGAAAAUAACGUAUCAGUUUGUUUAAGUAUUCGAAUCGUAUUGUUUAAGUGAACUCGUCCAUUUGCUGUUCCUCAAUUUUGUUAUCUCAUUUGCUUAUUGUUUGGUACCCUAAUAUCGCUUCUUCAAAAAAAAAAAGAAAAAAGAGUAAAGUUAAUCCGUGAACCCUGCACCCAAUUUUGUUCUAUAGAGUGACAGAGGAGUUUGGUUUAUUAUUGUACUUUUUUAAAGGAAUACAUCUCUUUUCUUGUGAAUGCUUGUAGAGAGGUACAAAAAUUUUGGUCAUUCAGUGGAUUUUUCUUAAAAAUUGUCAAUUUUGCCAAUGUGAACUUUAUCAAAUUUAAACCAAACUGCAAGUUUUUCUGCUGCAAUUUUUCUGAAGGAUUAAGCUCUUUUGCAGGGAAAAUUAUAUCUGUUGCUUCUUGGAACGACAGCUCUCAGUCUGGUAACAACGCCACUGCUCUUCAAGUUGAUUUCUGCCUUUGUUCAUCUUGGGGUCUUAUUGCGGUGGUUUUCUCCAGAUAGCCCGAGUGAGAUUGGAUAUAUAUAAAGGGGAUAAUCUUUGGUCAGACAGUGCUAAGCGUAUUGCUAUCUUGGUCCACGGCUCUCAUGAUUCAUGAUAUUAAACAUAAAAAUAUGAAAUGGUCAAGGAACGGACUGCGAAUGCCAACGAUUUCGUCAACGGUGGAUCUCAUGUGAUGGAAUAUGGGAGUAGAAGUAUAAGAGCAGAGAAGCUCUAUCUCUACCAAAAGGUUUUGAUCCUGCCACUGUUAACAACCCACCCAACAAUAACAAACUACACAUGGCUAUGGAAGUUGUGAACCAAAGAGAUGCAACUAUACUUCUAGAUUUGCUCAUGUGUGCACUUAAAAAUGUGACUCAAUAUUUAUGAAUUGAUGCAUGUACAAAUUUAAUAACUUUAACCAUUUGUUGUUUUUUUUUAAAAAAUAGUUUGUUGUACGUACUUAAAGAUUGUACUAUAAUAUAUAUUUCAUUAUAUAAAGAAAAAAGAAAUUAUUACCAUUAUUAAUUAUAUCAUUAUUAAUUAUAUAAUUAUUUUAUAUAAUUUACUACCAAAAACUGGUAAUAAAUAGUUGGACAUUAUAAUUUAUUAGUUUUGCUACUAAUUUUUGGUAGCAAAAUAAUUAUAUUGAAUAUUAAAAGCUAAUAAUUUUGCUACUAGAAUAAAUAUUAUUUGCUACCAAAAAAUUAGAAGCCAAAAAAAUAGUAUCAACUACCAAACAUUUGGUAGCAAAAUACUUUCAGCGACCGAGAUACAACUACCAAUUUGCUACCAAAAAAUUUGGUAGCAAAAAAAGUAUUAGCUACCAAAUAUAGAUUAUUUGCUACCAACUUUGUAGUA